rnacentral:rRNA from 1 species
UGGGGAAUAUUGCACAAUGGGCGCAAGCCUGAUGCAGCCAUGCCGCGUGUGUGAAGAAGGCCUUCGGGUUGUAAAGCACUUUCAGCGGGGAGGAAGGCGAUAAGGUUAAUAACCUCAUCGAUUGACGUUACCCGCAGAAGAAGCACCGGCUAACUCCGUGCCAGCAGCCGCGGUAAUACGGAGGGUGCAAGCGUUAAUCGGAAUUACUGGGCGUAAAGCGCACGCAGGCGGUCUGUCAAGUCGGAUGUGAAAUCCCCGGGCUCAACCUGGGAACUGCAUUCGAAACUGGCAGGCUAGAGUCUUGUAGAGGGGGGUAGAAUUCCAGGUGUAGCGGUGAAAUGCGUAGAGAUCUGGAGGAAUACCGGUGUCGAAGGCGGCCCCCUGGACAAAGACUGACGCUCAGGUGCGAAAGCGUGGGGAGCAAACAGG